rnacentral:lncRNA from 10 species
AUGCAUCCUGACUUACCUCCACACUUGCACACUCAAGAAUGCAACAUCGUGAUUAACUUGCUAAAAGAAUAUCACAAAAAUCAUAGCAUUCGAAAAUUUUUUGGUCAUUGCAAUGAUCUGGAUCAGGCAAUGAGAAAAUAAAUGCUUGAAGAAUGAGUACAUGGAAAAGAGGACCAAGAGCAGAGAGUAUGGCAAUUUGAUGCAAAAGAGACUUUUUUUCAAAAGAGACUUUUUAAUUCUCCAGAGGAAUCUGAAAAAU